rnacentral:rRNA from 1 species
UACGUUCCCGGGCCUUGUACACACCGCCCGUCACACCAUGGAAGCUGGGGGUGCCUGAAGUCGGUGACCGCAAGGAGCUGCCUAGGGUAAAACUAGUAACUAGGGCU